rnacentral:rRNA from 1 species
CUCUAACACACUGCAAGUCGAACGGAAAGGCCCUUCGGGGUACUCGAGUGGCGAACGGGUGAGUAACACGUGGGUGAUCUGCCCUGCACUUUGGGAUAAGCCUGGGAAACUGGGUCUAAUACCGAAUAGGACUACGCGAUGCAUGUCGUGUGGUGGAAAGCUUUUGCGGUGUGGGAUGGGCCCGCGGCCUAUCAGCUUGUUGGUGAGGUUACGGCUCACCAAGGCGACGACGGGUAGCCGGCCUGAGAGGGUGACCGGCCACACUGGGACUGAGAUACGGCCCAGACUCCUACGGGAGGCAGCAGUGGGGAAUAUUGCACAAUGGGCGCAAGCCUGAUGCAGCGACGCCGCGUGAGGGAUGACGGCCUUCGGGUUGUAAACCUCUUUCGCCAGGGACGAAGCGCAAGUGACGGUACCUGGAGAAGAAGGACCGGCCAACUACGUGCCAGCAGCCGCGGUAAUACGUAGGGUCCGAGCGUUGUCCGGAAUUACUGGGCGUAAAGAGCUCGUAGGUGGUUUGUCGCGUUGUUCGUGAAAACUCACAGCUCAACUGUGGGCGUGCGGGCGAUACGGGCAGACUGGAGUACUGCAGGG